UGAGAGAGAAUCCAUAACCCAAUAAAAAAAAUAAGUGGCUGAUGUGAAUUUAUAGAGAUAUUGAAAUAUGUGGGGAAUUAUUUCAAUUGGUCUAUCAUGCGCAGGCUGAGGAUUAUUUGAGAGAACAUCCUUUUAACAAGACAGGUCUGUAUCUUUUCUUCUUUAAAUGUAAUGCAUUGUUUCCUCCAUAAGUGUGGGUUAUUGCAUUUUUGUUGUGGGAGGGUUGUUUCUAUUGUUGUGCUUUAUCCAAUAGUUUCAAGGAGAGAGGAGAUCAUCUACCUUCACUGACAGAAUGAUUGGACUAUAUACAUAAGAGAGAAUGGAAAAGAGCCUUGUUGGCUAGUUUGCUGCUUCACAAUUAUUUUAAAAGUCACUGUAUGCUGUAUGGAG